UACGAAGGGGGCUAGCGUUGCUCGGAAUCACUGGGCGUAAAGGGUGCGUAGGCGGGUCUUUAAGUCAGGGGUGAAAUCCUGGAGCUCAACUCCAGAACUGCCUUUGAUACUGAAGAUCUUGAGUUCGGGAGAGGUGAGUGGAACUGCGAGUGUAGAGGUGAAAUUCGUAGAUAUUCGCAAGAACACCAGUGGCGAAGGCGGACUCACUGGCCCGAUACUGACGCUGAGGCGACGA
rnacentral:rRNA from 1 species